GUGCCAGCCGCCGCGGUAAUACGGAGGAUCCAAGCGUUAUCCGGAUUCAUUGGGUUUAAAGGGUCCGCAGGCGGGGUAUUAAGUCAGUGGUGAAAGCCGGCAGCUUAACUGUCGAAUUGCCAUUGAUACUGGUACUCUUGAGUGUAGUUGAAGUAGGCGGAAUAAGUCAUGUAGCGGUGAAAUGCAUAGAUAUGACUUAGAACACCGAUUGCGAAGGCAGCUUACUAAGCUAUUACUGACGCUCAUGGACGAAAGCGUGGGGAGCGAACAGGAUUAGAUACCCCGGUAGUCC
rnacentral:rRNA from 1 species